CAUCUCGGGAGCCCUUGGAGAGGCCUCCCUGCCUGCUUCUCCUCCUGCUCAGCACUGGGGGUGACGUGGAAGCCAUGCACUUGGUGGGGUUUGGUCAGCAGAUGAAGCAGGAGCCCCAUGGUUGGAACUGGAGUGCCGAGGACAGAGAGGACCAGGAACCUAGCCAAGCUCCUGGCAAAGACUCUCUAGCCCAAGGUGACUUGCUCAAGACCACAUGGACUCUGGCUGAUGAGCAUCCUCACCAGGGUGCACAUGGCUGAUAUCCAGCUGCUCGUGAGAACCUGUCAGGAUGUCGGGAUGAGGAAAAGGGAGCGCUCAGAGCUGGAUGCCUCACAAACAAUGUGCCAGGCGCCCUGCCAAGCGCUUUCCAUGCCUUCCCUGUCUCAGGAGCCUCCCGCUUCUUGAAGGACCAGAGCCGGAGGAAGAGGGAGCAGGAAAGGACCUGAUGAGUGGCUGGGGAAGAGAGCCGUGG
rnacentral:lncRNA from 1 species